rnacentral:rRNA from 1 species
CCGGCGCACGGGUGCGUAACACGUAUACAAUCUACCUUAAACAGGGGGAUAGCCUUUCGAAAGAGAGAUUAAUACCCCGUAAUAAAUUGAAUGGCAUCAUUUGAUUUUGAAAGCUCCGGCGGUUUGAGAUGAGUAUGCGUCUGAUUAGCUAGUUGGUGAGGUAACGGCUCACCAAGGCGACGAUCAGUAGGGGAUCUGAGAGGACUAACCCCCACACUGGUACUGAGACACGGACCAG